ensembl:lncRNA
GGUCCACGGUCCUGGGCGGGUUGCCUGUGCAGUCUCUUUGGCCUGAUGGAAUGCUUCCAUGUUGGAUGCAUGGAAUCUGCUGGAACCGCUGGAGGAAGGGACUUCUGUCCAACAGUGCCUAUAGAGUUUUCAAUCAAAAUAAAGCAUAUAGGAGUUUUCUUGUGGUACAGUGGAUUCGGAUCUGGUGUUGUCACUGCAGUGAUUUGGGUUGCUACUGUGGCGCAGGUUCAGUCCCUGACCAGGGAACUUCCACAUGCCAUGGGUGUGGCCCCCCAAAAAAGCAUGUAUAUGUUUAUAAAAGGCAAAGCAUACUUCAUGACUUUUAAUAAAGAGAGCAUUCCUCUGGUGUACUUGUUUGCUAUCCUUGAUUGCUAUUCCCAGAGACAACUAUUUUCAAUUAUUUAGUGGUUUCUUCUACUGUUCACCUCUGGGAAACUCACUAGGGAGCUUCUCAUUUAAACAUUUUUUGACUUCUUCCUAUGGAAGAUGUAGAUUUUGUCCUCUUACCCUCUCCUUAUCCCUUUCCCUGCCCCCAUACACACAUUUUCCAUCGCUGUAUUUUCCCGAUACAUUAAUAUCCCAAUUAUUGUUUAGAUCAGGAUUUACGUUAUUAUGGUAGUCACUGUUCCCAAGCAGGCCAUGCAUGCCGUGCCAUACCCUGAUAAUGGUUUACAGUUCUGGUGUGACUUUUUAAUUUUUUUCUGGAGUUAAUAAUUGUCCCCCCUCCCCCGCCCAUUAUUUAGUUUGCUAUAUAAUUAUCACAUUUCAUUCUCCUGUUCAAGAACUAUAGCACUCUUCUCAGUACUGUCAAACCCAUUGGGUGGUGACUCAGGUUAUUGUGUGUUCACUUUUGGGGAGGGCCCUCCUGCAGCCCUCAUCCUUCUGGCCCCAUCUGGGACGAUCGCGCAGCAGAUUGGUUGCGUAGCUGUCAUCCUGGGAUUUCUGUUUUUCUUCUCUGUUGGAUUCCCUGUGCCCUGCAUCCCAUGCCUGCCUCUUCCUCGGUUUAUUCUCUUGUUUUGUUGAGGCUGACAGCAACUUCUGAGAUCAGAUGGGAAUAGGAAAAUUUGAGGUUUUGCUUUGGGGAGGGCGGUUCUUCUCUUCCUCCACUCUUCCAUCCUUGUAAAGCGCUGUCCUGGGCCAGCCUGAGCAAAGGGUGGCAGCAUUGUGUUCUGUGCAUGUAGAGAGUGUCAGCCACCUCUGCAAGCCUGGCCACUGUGACCAAGAAGGAACAGCCUUUGCUCUUGUGCCAUUGCCAGUAAAUCUUGACAUCGCUGGUAAAGUCCUGGGAAUGUGUUUGGUGACUUGGAAAUCAGUGACUCUGAGAGCUUCUUCUAAGGUUCUUGUAGCAAUGGGCUGAAAACCUGACCUCUUUGUCCCAGUCCCUCGCUUAGCUGAACAGAGACCCAAAUGACAUCCCAAAACAGAACUGAGGCAUGGCAGCAGGCCUGCCUCUAAGCUGAGGGUUGUUCACCCAGCAGUCAUUUACUGAGCACCUGUUGGGCACAAGGCUCUAGGUGGGGUGAAAGGGGACCUCUGAGAAAGACUCUCUAGAAUCAUGUGCCCAUCUUUAAGGGGAGGCUGAAGGAACUGUGGUAAGCACCAUAUGAAACAUUUGGAAACACAGAGGUAGAAGCAGCUAGCCUUACUGGUGCAUUAAGAAAGUUCCAUGGAAGGGCUGACAUUUAAACUGGUCUGGAGGGACAGUGUAUUCUAGGCAAAAGCAUACAGUGCAAGCAGAUAGGACAGUCCUAGAGAAGGUGAAAGAGGAGAGGGCUUUCCUAUUGAUUGAGCAUCUCCUGUGCAUCUGUGACUUAAACAGGCAUGUUGACUUCCCAGGGUUAUUCUGAGAGCACAGGACUAAAGUUAUAAAACAGGAUAUACUUUGUGUUAAAUUCUCAAACCUUUGUGAAGCUUGUUAAUUAUUGGCAUUGUUGUUCUGUGGAUCCAUCCCAAGAGUCUUGCUUCUUCUCUCUUCAGACUGUCCUUCCCCUUCUUGAGUAUUCUUUGUUCAUUGAGUCUUUGACAAGUUCCAAUCUCAGUUUCUGAGUAUUUGAUUUUUUUCUUUAUUUUCAUUAGCAGUUCUUUCUGACAACCCUGUGUUCUUACACAUAGUUUAGCCAUUUUUUUUCUCCCUUUCAGUUUUGUUUGACAUAUAGCACUAAGUUUAAGGUGUAGAGCAUAACAGUUUGACUUACAUAUGUCAUGAAAUGAUCAGCACAGUAAGUUUAGUGGACAUCUAUCAUUUCAUACGGAUAAAACAUUAAAGAGAGAAAAAAAAUAUUUUUGUCCUGUGAUGAGAACUUUUAGGAUUUAUUCUCUUAAUGACUUUCAUAUAUAACAUAGAAUAGUGUUAGUUAUGUGUAUCAUGUUAUACAUCACAUCCAUAGUACCUGUUUAUCUUACAGCUGGAAGUUUGUACUUUUUGGUUACCUUCAUCUAGUUAUUCCUUCCCCUCUCUCAACCUCCAUUUCAGCCAUUUUUAACCUUCUUAAAAAUAUGAAGGCAAAAACUUCUUAAGUUUCAAACCUCUGAUCAGUGUAAACCCCAUACACCCAAACAUUUAAGAAAAUAAACUCAGAAAUGUCUAUAAUUUUUAAAUGCUUUCGUGCCAUGUUAAGUUCAAAGUUAACAUGCUCAAACAUCAUUCAUUGAAGUCUCCUAAGAUUAAUUUGCACACACAGGUCUUAUAUGUAGUCACUGCCUAUAUGUAACUGGCUGGUGUCAACAAAUUAACAAGCCUGGUUUUUAUGGUGAUGACUGGCCGGAGCAACGGUGUGGAUGCAAUGUCUUACUGAAUCUGAAGAUUACAUGCAUUUCAUGUGUUGGAGGUCCUCAUUCUCCAUAAAUGAUUGUAACCCAGAAAAGGACUUUGGGAUCUCUUUAAGUUAAGGACUACUGCUUCUCAGUAAAUAGUAGAAAGAUGUGAUUGGGGCUUUAUCUUGAAAAAUGAAACUGAAAGUAAGUUUGUAUUUGAAUUUAACAAGUUAUAAUUACAGCUUUGUGCUUAUUUCUGAAAACGGAGUGAAUCCCACCUGGGCAGGAUUGGGAUAUUUCCAGCAAAACUGUAUGAGAGUGCGGAUGUGACAUCCUUCUCUUAUGUUCGACUUCAACUGUAGGAUGAUCAAAACCUGCUUUAUCAGAGAGAGAGAUGUUGGAGAACUCUCUCUUUUCCCAGAGUUCUGUCUUAGCCCUUAGACCAUUCUCUACAGAAGCCCCCGUGUGGAUUUCUUCUUUAAUCCUUAACUUGAUUGUUUGCCAUUGGCUUUGAGAAAAAUCCUUUUGGGAGUUCCCGUCGUGGCGCAGUGGUUAACGAAUCCGACUGGGAACCAUGAGGUUGCGGGUUCGGUCCCUGCCCUU